UGGGGAAUAUUGGGCAAUGGGCGAAAGCCUGACCCAGCGACGCCGCGUGAGGGAAGAAGGUCUUCGGAUUGUAAACCUUAGUCAACAGGGAAGAAGAAAGUGACGGUACCUGUGGAGGAAGCCACGGCUAACUACGUGCCAGCAGCCGCGGUAAUACGUAGGUGGCGAGCGUUAUCCGGAUUUACUGGGUGUAAAGGGUGUGUAGGCGGGAUUGCAAGUCAGAUGUGAAACCUAUGGGCUUAACCCGUAGCCUGCAUUUGAAACUGUAGAUCUUGAGUGUCGGAGGGGCAAUCGGAAUUCCUAGUGUAGCGGUGAAAUGCGUAGAUAUUAGGAGGAACACCAGUGGCGAAGGCGGAUUGCUGGACGAUAACUGACGGUGAGGCGCGAAAGUGUGGGGAGC
rnacentral:rRNA from 1 species